AUGGGUGAUUUCAAUGAUAUUCUUAAUGCCUUAGAGAAGGAUAGCCCGAUUGUUUCGAACCAGCAUCGUAUGGACACUUUUCUUAAUCAUGUAAAGGGGUGUGGUUUAAUAGACAUGGGCUAUAAUGGUCCUGCCUUUAAUUGGUGCAAUAAGCGUUUUACUUCCAUUCCUACUUAUGAAAGGCUUGAUCGAUGUUUUGCCAAUCCUGAAUGGUGCAAAGAAUUUCCUAAUACUUCCGUGUACAACUUACCUAUUAUGUAUAGUGAUCAUGCUCCUAUCCUUACUAUUUCCGUGCCUGUUACAGUAAAAACCAAGAGAACGUUCAAAUUUGAGAAC
rnacentral:rRNA from 1 species